CCUACGGGUGGCUGCAGUGGGGAAUCUUGGACAAUGGGCGCAAGCCUGAUCCAGCUAUUCCGCGUGUGGGAUGACGGCCUUCGGGUUGUAAACCACUUUUGUAGAGAACGAAAAAUCUGUUGAUAAUACCGAUAGAUGAUUACGGUACUCUAAGAAUAAGCACCGGCUAACUACGUGCCAGCAGCCGCGGUAAUACGUAGGGUGCGAGCGUUAAUCGGAAUUACUGGGGGGAAAGGGUGUGCAGGCGGUUUUACAAGAUCGAUGUGAAAGCCCCGGGCUUAACCUGGGAAAGCCAUACAUAACUGCAAGACUAGAGUGCGUCAGAGGGGAGUGGAAUUCCAAGUGUAGCAGUGAAAUGCGUAGAUAUUUGGAAGAACACCGGUGGCGAAGGUAGCCCCCUGGGACGCAACUGACGCUGAUGCACGAAAGCGUGGGGAGCAAACAGGAUUAGAUACCCCGGUAGUC
rnacentral:rRNA from 1 species